ensembl:lncRNA novel transcript
AGAACACAGAACUUCACACCGCCUGCUCGGGCCUGGAGUCCCCCCCCGCCGACCCAUGGGGAGGGCGCAAGGCGCCUUUCAGGGAAGGUGUCUUCGAAAAUGGUCGAGGGGUGAGAGCACUGUGACCCGUCCCUGCCGGGGAUCCUGUGGUGGGACAGCCAGGAUUGGGUCCCUAGCCCGGGGGAGGCAGAAUCUGGGUAAUGGAAGGGAGAAUGGGCUCGCUAUCUGCCCAGAGCUUCCCUGGACUGCAGGAACCCGUCCUAUAAGCAACCCCGAAACUUCGGGGCCCGAGGACCAGGGAAGACCCCCUUUCCUUGCUGUCUUGACAGGGUUGCAGAAGCCAAGGAGUUCGGCAGGGAGACGGGGCUCCUGGGGUGGUUAAGGACGCGGUGACCACCCCUGGGCGGGAGCUGACUCCCGCGGGCCCGGAGGCUCUAGCUCACUCUACAGCAAAUGCUUUUGUUCCCGGAGGCUGCCCUGGGGGAAAGACGCCCCUUACCCCUGCCUUCGACCCUGGAGAGCCCAGUGCCCGCCCGGGCAGGGCUGGAGCCCGAGUCGCCCCAGGCAGAGUCCGCCGAGGCCUGGGGUGGGAGCCGCGACUUCUGGAUCUGCCUCCGAGCUCAGCUAGAAGACUGCGCGCACCUCGUCCGGCGCCGUCCGGCGCGCAGAAGCGGGUCUAAUGUUUAUAACGUUAAUAAUGACAGUUAGGGAGGGCUGUGGAGCCGGGAACCAAGACCUCAUCCCGCCGCCGCCCACGUCUUUGAUCAUUAAAGAAACAGACAACUAAUCAGGGCCCAAGCCUGGUCCGCGCGCGCCCCCUGCUGGAAGCCGCUUGCCGGGCGCAGAGGCGGGUCAACGGCAGAGGGUGCUGGCUGGGCGAGGAAGAUGUGGCUGGAACCCUGCACCAAGGCGACCGCUGCUCACGGCUCUGCAGUCCCGCGGCGCGAUACGCCAGUGGGGCGCGCUUAACCAAAGUCCCGAGGCUUUACUUCCCGUGCCCACCCAGUCUAUGUCCCAGGUAUCAGCAACCUCUGGUCCACUACACAACACAGGCGCUGUCCCUACUUCGCGCUGCGUAGUUUCCAGUGCCCAGGGCGUCUCCUAAUUCUUGAGCGACUAGUCCCUGGCACAAAACCUUCCUAUACACCUCUCCCACUCUCCCUUCUCUCUGAGUCUUAUGACUUUGUCAGGGGCCUAUUAAAAUAAAUGUCUGAGAUCUGGAAAAAAAAAUCUGUUGGCGCUAACAGGGGCAAAGAAAACUGCAAAAUUGGAAGUAAUCGAUGUUUGAUUGAAUGUUUAAGACAUGCGACAUUGUGCAAACGAUUCUGUUGCAACUGCACUCAGAGUUGUACUUGCCCUUGUAUUUUAAUGUGGCACGCGGAGGAUUUAAUGGACUUGCCUAAAGAUGUGGGAAGGGCCUCUGAGAAUAAGAAAGCCGGGGCCCAGAUGGGCAUCAAACAUCCCCAGCAUAGCAGCCGGUUAAGGCUGCGGAGACCUUCCCCAAGGCUGCCCUCCAGUCAGAAGCCCCUGAACACUCACUACUUCCCAUCUUUCAGCUUCUGCGCGCACAGACACACACACACACACACACACACACACACACACACACACACACACACACACACACAAAUGUUCUCUCCAGCCCCACACCCUCAAGAAGCUGCUUUCCUUUUCUAAUUUCCAGUCGAAAGAUCACUCCUCAGGGAAGCCAGGCCCUGUUUAUACUCCCUCCUCCGGCCUUUCCUUGUACAGGUUCUAUGUAGUCGUCAGGCGGGCAGGUCCUAGCGUCAGACUCCAUUAUGUACUGACUGUGUGUCCUUAGCCAAGCUAUUUAACCUCUCUGUGCCUCAAGAAAAAAAGGCAUAAAUAAGAGUACUGACCAGGCGCGGUGGCUCACACCUGUAAUAAUCCCAGCACUUUGGGAGGCCCAGGCGGGCGGAUCACAAGGUCAGGAGUUCGAGACCAGCCUGACCAACAUGGUGAAACCUCGUCUCUGCUAAAAAUACAAAAAUUAGCCGGGCGUGGUGGUGCAUGCCUGUAAUCCCAGCUACUCAGGAGGCUGAGGCAGGAGAAUCUCGGGAGGCAGAGGUUGCAGUGAGCCGAGAUAGUGCCACUGCAUUCCGGCCUGGGCGACAGAGC